rnacentral:sRNA from 1 species
UUAUAAUUAAAUUUAUUAAAACUUAAUAAAUUUAAAAGUUUUUUUUGUUUGGAGACGCACUAUCUACAUAUAAAAUACCCGUUUCUAUUUUUUUGAGUAUUUUUAGGGCCUGAAACUUUUUAUCCAAACUGACCCAAACCCAACUGGACCCGACCCGAACCAGAUAUUUAGAAUUAUUCUAUUAGGUAGUAAAUCAUAUACCCAUUAAUUCCAAACCCGAACGGGUUCUACCCGAACUCAAAUGGAUUACUCAUAUGUCCAGCCCUAUUCUCUGAUUUAAUUAUCUAAAAA